UCUUGACCUUGUGAUCCACCCGCCUCGGCCUCCCAGAGUGCUUGGAUUACAGGCGUGAGCCACCACACCCGGCCAAUCCCAGCACUUUGGAAGGUCCUGGUGGGUGGAUCACCUGAAGUCAGGAGUUCGAGACCAGCCUGACCAACAUGGAGAAAUCCUAUCUCUACUAAAAAUACAAAAUUAGCCGGGUGUGGUGGUACAUGCCUGUAAUCCCAGCUACUCAGGAGGCUGAGGCAGGAGAAUUGCUUGAACCCAAGAGGUGGAGGUUAUGGUGAGCCAAGAUCGAACCAUUGCACUCCAGCGUGGGCAACAAGAGUAAAACUCUGUUUCAAACAAAAAAAAAAAGACAGUGGCUUAUAGGCCAGGCAUAGUGGCUCACACCUUAAUGCCAACACUUUGGGAGGCCAAAGCAGGAGGAUCAUUUGAGGCCAAGAGUUGGAGACCAGCCUGAAUAAUAUGAUGAGACUACAAUCUCUACUUUAAAAAAAAAGAAAAGAAAAUUUAAAAGACAUAAAUAAAGGGAAAAACAUCUGUGGUCAUAAAUUAGAAGACUUAAUAGUGUUAAGAUGAUGAUAACUAUCCAAUGUGAUAUACAGAUUCAAUGAAAUCCUCCUUGUCAAACUUGCAAUGACUUUUUUUUUCAAGAUGGAGUCUUACUCUGUCACCCAGGCAGGAGUGCAAUGGCAAGAUCUGGGCUCACUGCAAACUCCACCUCCUGAGUUCAAGCAAUCAUCUUUCCUCAGCCUCCCAUGUAGCUGAGAUUACAAGCAUUCACCACCAUGCCUGGCUAAUUUUUGUAUUUUUAGUAGAGAUGGGGUUUCACUGUGUUGGCCAGGUUGGUCUGAAACUUCUGACUUCAAGGCAUUGGUCCGCCUCAGCCUCCCAAAGUGCUGGGAUUACAGGUGUGAUCUACCGCAUAUGAUCCCCAGUGACAUUUUUUCAUAGAAAUAGAAAAACCCCUCUUUCCCAUCUUGCAAGAUGGCGGGUGAAAAGUUGAGAAGCUGGAUACUAAAGAGAAGAAACCUGAAGCCAAGAAGGCUGAUGCUGGUAGCAAAGUGAAAAAGGGUAGCCUCAAGGCUAAAAAGCCCAAGAAGAGGAAGCCCCAUUGCAGCCGCAAUCCUGUUCUUGUCAGAAGAAUUGGCAGGUAUUCCCAAUCUGCAAUGUAUUCCAGAAAAGCCUUGUACAAGAGGAAGUACUCAGCAGCUAAAUCCAAGGUUAAAAAGAAAAAGAAAGAGAAGGUUCUUGCAACUGUUACAAAACCAGUUGGUGGUGACAAAAACGGCAGCACCCGGGUGAUUAAACUUCACAAAAUGCCUAGGUAUUAUCCUACUGAAGAUGUGCCUCAAAAGCUGUUGAGCCACGGCAAAAAAACCCUUUAGUCAGCAAGUGAGAAAACUGCGAGCCAGCAUUACCCCCGGGACCAUUCUGAUCAUCCUCACUGGUCGCCACAGGGGCAAGAGGGUGGUUUUCCUGAAGCAGCUGGCUAGUGGCUUGUUACUUGUGACUGGACCUCUGGUCCUCAAUCAAGUUCCUCUGCAAAGAACACACCAGAAAUUUGUCAUUGCCACCUCAACCAAAAUUGAUAUCAGCAAUGUAAAAAUCCCAAAACAUCUUACUGAUGCUUACUUCAAGAAGAAGCAGCUGCGGAAGCCCAGACACCAGGAAGGUGAGAUCUUCGACACAGAAAAAGAGAAAUACGAGAUUACAGAGCAGCGCAAGAUUGAUCAGAAAGCUGUGGACUCACAAGUUUUACCAAAAAUCAAAGCUAUUCCUCAGCUCCAGGGCUACCUGCGAUCUGUGUUUGCCCUGACAAAUGGAAUUUAUCCUCACAAAUUGGUGUUUUAAAUGUCCUAAUAAUCUAAUUAAAUAACUGAAAAAAAAAAAAAGAAAUAGAAAAACCCAUCCUAAAAUUUUAUAUGGAGUCUUUUUUCUUUUUUUGUAGAGACAGGGUUUUGCUAUGUUGCCCAGGCUCGUAUCAGACUCCUUGCCUCAAGUGAUCAUUCUGCCUCAACCUCCCAAAGUGCUAGGAUUACAGGUGUGAGCCACUGGUCACAGCCAAAUUUUAUAUGGAAUUUUUUUUUUUUUUUUUUUUGAGACAGAGUCUUGCUCAUCGCCCAGGCUGGAGUCCAAUGGCACAAUCUUGGCUCACUGCAACCUCCACCUCCUGGGUUCAAGUGAUUCUCCUGCCUUAGACUCCCUAGUAGCUGGGAUUACAGGUGUCUGCCACCACAACAAGCUAAUUUUUGUAUUUUUAGUAGAGACAGGGUUUCACCAUGUUGGUCAGGCUGGUCUCGAACUCUUGACCUCAGGUGAUCCAUCAGCCUCGGCCUCCUAAAGUGCUGGGAUUACAGGCGUGAGCCACCAUGCCCGGCCUUACAUGGAAUUUUAAAGAACACCAAAUAGCCAAAAAUCUUCAAAAAAGCACAAGGAAGGCCAGGCAUGGGGCUCACACCUGUAAUCCCAGCACUUUGGGAGCCCAAGGUGGGCAGAUCACUUGAGGUCAGGAGUUUAAGAUUAGCCUGGCCAACACGGUGAAAUCCUAUCUCUACUAAAAAUACAAAAAUCAACUGGGUGUGGUGGCACGCACCUAUAAUCCCAGCUACUCAGGAGGCUGAGGCAAGAGAAUCACUUGAACCUGAGAGACGGAGGCUGCAGUGAGCUGAUACUGAACCACUGCACUCCAUCCUGGAUGACAGAGCAAGACUCUGUCUCAAAGAAACCAAAACAAAAAACAAACAGAAAAACAGUAUGAUACUAGCAUAAGGAUAGACAUCGAUUUUCAACAAAUGUUCCAAGACCAUUCAAUGGGGGAAAGGACAGUCUUUUCAACAAAUGGUGCUUAAAAAACAAAACAAAACAAAACAAAAAAACUGGAUAUUCACAUGCAAAAUAAUGAAGUUGGACCUUUGUCUUACACAACAUGCAAAAGGCCAGGCAUGGUGGCUCGUGCCUAUAAUCUUAGCAUUUUGGGAGGCCAAGGCAGCUGAUCACCUGAGGUCAGCAGUCCGAGACCAGCUUGGCCAACAUGGUGAAACCCCAUCUCCACUAAAAAUACAAAAAUUAUCUGGGCGUGGUGGUGCAUGCCUGUAGUCCCAGCUACCUGGGAGGCUGAGGCAGGAGAAUCACUUGAACCGGGGGGACAGAGGUUUCAGUGAGCCAAGAUCAUGCCACUGAAUUCCAGCCUGGCAACAAAGCAAGACUCCGUCUCAAAAAAAAAUCAAUAAAAAUUAAAAAUAAAAUUAGCCAGGUGUAGUGGCAAGAGCCUGUGGUCCUAGCUACUUGGAAGGCUGUAGUGGGAGGAUCGCUUGAGCUCAGGAGUUGGAGGUUACAGUGAGCUGUGAUUACACUAUUGUAUACCAGCCUGGGUGACAGACCGAGACGCUGACUCAAAAAAAAUUUUUUUGUUUUUAAUUGAAAGACAGUAAAUGCACGCCCCCUUGUGGGUGCAUGUUUACGCUUACUCUCCUUUUGGGACUUCAGGGAACUUCUCACUUGGUUUUCUCUGUUCACAGGGGUUAUGGCCCUACAGCUCUGUUCUUGCUCAGAUCUAUUGAUUAGCCUCCCGGAAAGCCCCAGCCCUGUGCUGAAUUCCCCAAGCUGAUGCAUAGCUCUGCAUCCCAGAGUCUGACUUGAUUGCAAUAAAAGGGAUUUCUCCACAGGUGGUCGACAUCAGUCAGAGACAUCCAGACACACAACCCACCACACACACACACACACACGCACGCAUGCACGCACGCACGCACGCACGCACCAAGGAUAGUCAAUCAACAGCAGUGCACAGCUGACUUCCAGGAGGGCAGAUGGCACCCUGGGACAAGUGUGUGGAAUCUUUCCACUUCAGGUCACAUUAGCCAUCUGGGUAUAAUUCAGUGGUGAAAGUAGGGCCGGCUUCAUGGGCCUGAGAUUUGUGUCAUCACGCAGCGAUCCAUGCUCAGAAGGGUCCCAUGAUUGCUUUUAUUCUCUGCUGUCAUCAUCUUGAAAUUCAUAAGAUUGAACAAGGCACUCUACAUUUUCAUUUUGCACUGAGUCCUCCAAUGUAUGUCCAGGGUAAAAUGUUGUAAGACCAGGGCAAAGCAGAAGACCCUCAGGAGAUGAGACAGCCUUGACUUGCAUGAGCCAUGAUACUCAAGUUUGUGUGGAGGAGGGGGUGACAGCUGUGUUUGACCCAUAUUAAGCCCUUAGAAAUAAUGGCUAUUAUUACUGUGUGUCAUCGAUGAUGAUGAUAAGUGUUGGCGAACUGCUCCAAAGCUGUUUUUCAAACUUCAUUGUAGCCUGGUUAAUUCAGGAUUCACAUGCCAUCAUUCAGCUUUGUUUCACUGGUGCAUUUGCAAAGCAUUUUUUAUUCAAGCAGUCCGUUUGGCAACCCUAAAGAACUCGACACAAAUGCACAGCCCAUCUUUCUUUCUUUUCUUCCUUCCUUCCUUUCUUCCUUCCUUCCUUUCUCUUUCUUUCCUUUUUUUGAGAUGGAGUUUUACUCUUGUCACCCAGGCUGGAGUACAAUGGCAUGAUCUCAGCUCACUGCAACCUCCACCUCCUGGGUUCAAGUGAUUCUUCAGCCUCAGCCUCCCAAAAACCUGGGAUUACAGGUGGCUGCCACCCUGCCAGCCUAAUUUUUGUAUUUUUAGUAGGGACAGCAUUUCACCAUGUUGGCCAGGCUGGUCUCAAACUCCUGACCUCUGGUGAUCUGCCUGGCUUGGCCCCUCAAAGUGCUAGCAUUACAGGUGUGAGCCACUACAGCCAGCCCACGCCCAGCCUUUCAAACACCCACAGAAACUGGGUGCAGUGGCUCGUGCCUAUAGUCCCAGCUACUCAGGAGGCUGAGGUUGGAGAACCUCUUGAGCCCAGAAGUUUGGGGUUACAGUGAGCUAUGAUAGUGCCACUGUACUCCAGCCUGGGUAACAGAGCAAGACCCUGUCUCAAACAAAACAAAACCUGCUGAGAUGUUAUAUACUGAUAUGGUUUGGCUCUGUGUCCUCACCCAAAUCUCAUCUUGAAUUGUAUUCCCAUAAUUCCACAUCUUGUCAGGGGCACCCAGUGGGAGAUAAUUUGAAUCAUGGGGGUGGAAUCAUAAUUUGAAUCUUCCAUACUGUUCUCGUGGCAGUGAAUAAGUCUCAGGAGAGUUGAUGGUUUUAUCAGGGGUUUCCACUUUUGCAUCUUCUUCAUUUUCUCUUGCUGCCACCAUGUAAGAAAUGCCCUUUGCCUCCUGCCAUGAUUCUGAGGCUUCCCCAAUCAUGUGGAACUGUAAGUCCAGUUAACUCUCUUUCUUUGCAGUCUUGGGUAUUUCUUUAUUAUCAGCAUGAAAAUGGACUAAUACAUAUACCCUCAUCCAAAUAUUAUCCCCAUUCUCCAGUUGCAUGAACAGUUCCUAAAAUCCUACCCCAUCCUCCAACCAGCUGCCACAGAUUCUCUUAAAGUUCACACAGACACACACACUCAGGUCAUCUGGCUGAGUGUGGGCAACAUCUGCAUGAUCCCCUCUGUGAUACUGAAACCGGCCCAAUUGUCCCCUAGAAUUGACAUUUGUGGUUUAUUUGAAUAAUAGAAAAUAGAAAUUGAUCCUCCCACUCUUAAAACUUUAGAAAGUUACAUUUGUCUUGUCUGAGUUCCUUUCUCAGGAAACCAACCAUCAGGGCUUCCAGAUAGUAUCAAAGAGCUGAAACUUACCAGAUCACUGCAUCUGUACAAUAUGAUACCAGGCCCCAUACCCAUUGUAACUGCCUAAUCAGGCCAGGUGUGGUGGCUCAGGACUGUAAUCCCAACACUUUGGGAGGCUGAGGUAGGCAGAUCACUUGAGGUCAGCAGUUUGAAACCAGCCUGACCAACGUUGCAAAACCCCAUCUCUACUAAAACUACAAAAAUUAGCCAGGCAUGGUGGCGUAUGACUGUAAACCCAGCUACUUAAGAGGCUGGGGCACAAGAAUCACUUGAACCCAAGAGGCAGAGGUUGCAGUGAGCCAAGAUCUCACCACUACACUCCAGCCUGGGCAACAGUGAGACUCUGUCUCUAAACAAAGAAAUAAACAAAUAACUGCCUAACCAGCCACCUGCUUUCUAUUGACCAACUCCUCUUCCUUGCCCCUUCCUAAUUCCUGUUUUCCCACACAAGGUCACAUUCUUCCCUGUUAUAUAAACCCCUAAUUUUUUUUUUUUUUUUUUUUUUGAGAUGACAUCUGACUCUGUCACUUAGGCAGAAGUACAGUGGUAAGAUCUUGGCUCAUUGAAACCUUUGCCUCCUGGUUCAACAAUUCUCCUGCCUCAGCCUCUCAAGUAGCUGGGAUUACCAGCACACCACCACACCUGGCUAAUUUUUGCAUUUUUAGUAGAGAUGGAGUUUUGCCAUAUUGGCCAGGCUGGUCUCAAAUUCCUGACCUCAUGAUCUGUCCCCCUCAGCCUCCCAAAGUACUGGGAUUACAGGCAUGAGCCACCACACCUGGCCUAAACCCCUAAUUGUAUUCAGUCAAAGAGAUGGAUUUGAGACUGGUCUCUUAUCUCAGCUGCAGUACAUGAAUAAAGCCUUCUUUCCUGGCAAUACUCAUUUCAGUGAUUGGCUUUCUAUGUGGUGAGCAGCAGGACCUAGACCAAAGCCCUAGGUCGUUUCAGGCACAAUAAGCACUAUGUUCAGGCUGUGGGCUCUAUAAUUUUCAUUUGAGCUUUUAGAUUAUUACAAAUUAGAAAUUGUACUUGGGUGUAUGUGUGAUUUCUGGGUAGCUAGAAAGGGUAAGAAGGGUUGGCAUUUUGAAAGUACAUUAGAAAUAUUUCUAUGGCUUUCUAGAUUUCCAGGGAGAGCCAGAAGUUGUCAUUAUGUGGAAAUUUAGCAAGGAAACACAGGUGAUUUUGUUUCUUUGUAAGGUUUGGAGGUUGGGGCCCUUGGAAGCUCUACAAAGGUCCUGGGGUUAGCCCCUGGAGGUACAUGGCCCUGGUGUAAUGAGGGCUGCCUAAAUCAAAGGAAAAACUAACAACUUUACUGCCUCUUAUAAUUCAACAAAUCUGGAGUUUUAGAUAAGAAAAGCCAGAGACAAGAGGGGGCAGGUGGAGUGAAAAUGAUGUCACCUGCCACUCUCAGGUUUCCUGCAAGAAAUCCUAGUGGAGAAGUGAAUUCUGGCUCAGUAAAUGAGUCACUGGCUUUAUAAGCCAAGAAAGAUGAAAAGCAGAUUCCAGGAACUAAGCAAAGAGGAAUCUUGAGGAAAGUGUUUAGUUUUAGUGUGAAAGUGUCAAGCCGGUUGCUCCGGUGGAAACUCAGGGAGAAAAACAGUGAGAAAGACUAGCGAAAUAGCAAGGAACCAGACACCUUGCCUGAGAGAGUCUGUGCCUCCAGGCAAUUUAUUAAUAGAAAGAUUGACUGAGAUGGCACCCACUCAGCACAGAAAAAAAAAAAAACCUGGGUCAGGCGUGGUGGCUCACACCUGUAAUCCCAGUACUUUGGGAGACCAAGGCAGGCGGAUCAUGAAAUCAAAAGAUUGAGACCAUCUUGGCCAACAUGGCGAAACCCUGUCUCCACUAAAAAUACAAAAAUUAGCUGGGCCUACAGGUGCAUGCCUCUAGUUCCAGCUACUUGGGAGGCUGAGGCAGGAGAAUCGCUUGAUUCUACCCAGGAGGUAGAGGUUGCAGUGAGCCGAAAUCAUGCUACUGCACUCCAGCCUAGUGACAGAGCCAGUUUCCAUUUCAAAGAAGAAAAAAAAACCUGGGCAGCACCAGAGAGGAAGACAAUAUCCCAGUGCCCAAGGCCCCACAGAGCUCACAGCCAUUGAGCAAGUCAUCCCACUUGUGUUAAGUGAGGAAGAGGAAGGUUUGGGGAUGGUGGGGCGGGGAGAAGGGCCUGGAAGGCUUUUCCAACACCUAGGGGAGGAUUAUUCAGAUAUAGAGGUCAGGCUGAGGCUAGGCACAGUGGCUUACAUCUGUAAUCCCAACACUUUGGGAGGCCAAGGUGGAAGGAUUGCUUGAGAGUAGUAGUUCAAGACUAGCCUGGGCAAAAUAGUGAGACCUUGUCUUUAAAAAAAUUUUUAAAAGCCAGUCACAGUGGCUCACGCCUGUAACUCCAGCACUUUGGGAGGUUGAGGUGGGUGGAUCACGAGGUCAAGAGUUCAAGACCAGCCUGGCCAAGAUGGUAAAACACUGUCUCUACUAUAAACUACAAAAAAUUAGCCAGACUCAGUGGCAGGCCUGUAAUCCCAGCUACUCAGGAGGCUGAGGCAGGAGAAUCACUUGAACCUGGUGGCAGAGGUUGUAGUGAGCCGAAAUUGCUCCACUGCACUCUAGCCUGGGUGACAGAAUAAGACUCUGUCUCAAGAAAAAAAAAAAAAAAUUAAAAAAAAGAAAAAUAGCUGGGCAUGCUGGCACAUACCUGUAAUCCCAGCUACUCAGGAAGCUGAGACAGGAUGAUCACUUGAACCCAGGAGUUCAAAGUUGCAGUGAACCAUGAUCAUGACACCACACCCCAGCCUGGGUGAAAGAGUGAGGCCCUUACUCAAAUAGUAAGGCCGGGCACAGUGGCUCAUGGCUGUAAUCCCAACACUGUGGGAGGCCGAGGCAGGUGGAUUGCUUGAGCUCAGGAGUUCGAGAUCAGUCUGAGCAACAUGGCAAAACCUCAUCUGUGUAUAUACAUCGCUUGGGUUCAUGGGUUCAAGCGAUUCUCCUGCCUCAGCCUCCCUAGUAGCUGGGAUUACAGGCAUGCGCCACCAUGCCCAGCUAAUUUUUGUAUUUUAUUAGAGAUGGGGUUUCACCAUGUUGGCCAGGCUGUUUUUUCCCGACCUCAAGUGAUCUGCCCGCCUUGGCCUUCCAAAGUGUUGGGAUUACAGGCUCGAGCCACCGUGCCCAGCCAUCUGUAUAUUUUUUAAAAUGUUUAAAUUAAUAAUAAUUAAUUAAGGUCAGGCUGAAUUUUCAGCAAAAGCCUGGCCUGAAUUUUCAGCAAAAGCAGAGGCUGCUCCGGAGACCUGAAAGCAGAAGCUGUUUGAGGAGCAGAGGUACAAGAAAAGCCUGGAUGAGUUCUUUCUAUUCUAUUUUAGGUUAUUUGUUGGAUUAACACAUUUGGUGGGGCGGAGAGGGGCCAUCUCCCAAGUGACAAGCGACCUUGUUUGGCACUUUUUGUUUAUUUACAAAGCAAUUCAAUUCCUUGGUGUUCAGGAGCUUCCUGAGAAAGGGCCGGGCCCAUCUCUGAGACAGGCAGAGGGCACCGCAGCAGCAAAGGCCCAGAGGAGGGACCCUGCAGAGCAGCCUCCGGAAAGAGCCAGGGGUCCCUAGGGGUGGGAAAUCAAGAGGGCACUGAGGCUUGAAGGAAGACCAGGCUGAUCUUCAGACUUCAGUCUUGUCAGGGGGCAGGGUGAGUCCUGGAGAGACAGUACCCCAGGAAGCCAAGGCAGGGUGGGGGAGGUCACACCUCAGCACAUUCUCUUCUGUGUGACGUUAGAGAUCGUUAACCUUGGGACCCUAACAGCUGCUGCCACCACCUUCAGGAAUUCAGGCCCUCCCUGCCUGGCACAUUGGUCAGCACUCCCAUGCCCAGCCCUGUUGGAGGAGGAGGCAGCUCAUUAGAUGUACUGACACCGGCCCUCUUGGCAUCCUGGGACAGCCCUCACCAGCACCCUGGGCUCUCAAGGGCCUGGGCUGGUGGCUGCCAUCCCCCUAGGAUAGGAGCCUACCAAUUCUCUUCUGGUUGGGGCCCCUUGGGCCCUCAAGGAUCCCAACUCUGCUCAUGAUGGCCUCUGGGGGAGCACAGGAGCCCUGGAGGGGAAGGUAAGAGUCUUGGGCCCUAGCCCAGUCUGGCCACUGGUCCACUGUGGUGACCUUCAGGCAUGGCCUUACUCCCUCUGGAACUCAGUGGCCUUUGAGAUCUCAGGGGACUUCUGAGACUGGGAAUAGAGCACAGAGUCAGGACACUCAACCUGCACCUGGUCUUGGAGUGUGGAACCCUACACACAGCAGGUGGCCCUUUGGGAAGGGGAGGCAGACAAGGGCAGAGAACGGGGUUGCACAGGGGCUUUGUAAGAGCGAAGGAGAGGUUCCAGACCCAGUCUGUGGUCCAGGAAGCUGUCUCAAAGGAGGUGGUGUGUGGAUUGAGACCUCAAGGGUGAGCAGGAGUUAGGCAGGUGAAGGAAAGAGGAAAAGGCAUCCAAUUGCACAGCCCAGGCCAGGGGCAGCAGCUCAUGCCUGUAAUCCUAGCAUUUUGGGAGGCCAAGGUGGGUAGAUCACCUGAGGUCAGGAGUUUGAGACCAGCCUAGCCAACAUGGUGAAACCCCACCUCUACUAAAAAUGCAAAAAGAAUUAGCUGUGUGGUGAUGCACGCCUGUAGUCCUGGCUACUUGGGAGGCUGAGGUACGAGAAUUGCUUGAACCCAGGGGGCGGAGGUUGCAGUGAGUGGUGAUUGUGCCACUGUGUUCCAACCUGAGCAACAGAGCAAGAAAAAAAAAAAACACUGCAGGGCCCACCCUGUGCAAAGAUGGAGAGGCAGGGAAGGCAGGUUGUAUCUAGGGAUGCAAAGAAGUUCAGUCCAGCUGGAGCUAGGCCCUCCUAAGGAGGAACUGUCCAGGGCUGAGGGGCAAGUGGGGAAGUGAGACAGGUCCCAUGAGCAGAGGUCAUCCAGCUGCUGCAUGGACAAUGGACCUGAGGGUAACUAAGGAGACUGAGAGGGCAGGAGGGAGGCAGGUGGUAGUCUGGCCAAGGGCAGGGUGGUGGGCAUAGGGAAGAAGGGGCUCACUCACUUGGUGGCUGGCCGGUAUCAGGUAAGAGGUCUGGGGAAAGAUUACAUGGGGAACCAGGAGAAAGGGCAGUUCUGAAGAGAGAAGUUGGGGUUGACUUUACACAAUGGAUUUGGGAGAGUCAUCCUAAGGGGGGAGAAGUAGAGCAAGAGAUAUGGGGGCUAAGACUCAAGUCAUCACUGUGGGAACAAAAAAGAGGUUCUGGCUGGCACAGUGGCUCACGCCUGUAAUCCUAGCACUUUGGAAGGUUGAGGUGGAUGGAUCACCUGAGGUCAGGAGUUUGAGACCAGCCUGGCCAACAUGGUGAAACCCUGUCUCUACUAAAAAUGCAAAAAUUGUCUGGGCAUGGUGGUGGACGCCUGUAAUCCCAGCUACUCAGGAGGCUGAGGCAGGAGAAUUGCUUGAACUGGGGAGGUGGAGGUUACAGUGAGCCGAGAUGGCACUAUUACUCUAGCCUGGGUGACAAGAGUAAAACUCCAUCUCAAAAAAAAAAAAAGGUUCUGAGGGCUGAGCACAGUGGCUCAUGCCUGUGAUCCCAGCACUUUGGGAGGCUAAGGUGGGCAGAUCACUGGAGCUUAGUUCAAUACCAGACUGGACAACAUGGUGAAAACCUGUCUCUACCAAAAAUACAAGAAAUUAGGCAGGCAUGGUUGUGUGUGCCUGUAGUCCCAGCUAGCUACUCAGGGGGCAGAGGUGAGAGGAUCGCUUGAGCCUGGGAGGCGAAGGUUGCAAUGAGCUGAGAUCGCACCACUGCACUCCAACCCAGGUGACAGAGUGAGACUCCGUCUGAAAAAAAAAAAAAGAAAAGGAAAGAAAGAAAAGAAGUCCUGAAGUUGUCAGGGUGCCCCAGAGAGAAGUAUAAGAAUGAGGGAAAGGCUCACGCUUGUAAUUCCAGCACUUUAGGAGGCUGAGGUGGGCGGAUCACGAGGUCAGGAGUUCAAGAGCUGGUGAAAUCCCGUUUCACAAAAUAUGGUGAAACCCCAUAUUUACUAAAAAUACAAAAAUUAGCCCUGUGUGGUGGCAGGCGCCUGCAGUCCCAGCUACUCAGGAGGCUGAGGCAGAAGAAUCACUUGAACCCGGGAGGCGGAGGUUGCAGUGAGCCAAGAUUUUGCCACUGCACUCCAGCCUGGGUGACAGAGAGAGACUUCAUCAAAAAAAAAAAGUGGGCUGAGUUCCUGGAGAACCUCACUGAGGGGCAUGAAGGCAGAUAGCCAGAGGAGCAGCUAGAAAUCCUUCUCUUGGAUCACAGAAGCCAAAUAAUGCUUCAGAAGAUGGGGAGGACCCGCUGUGCCCAACACACCUGGAAGGGUCAAAGGAGGAGAGGACUGAGAAGUGGAGGGACAGGGAGCAUUUCUCCCUCUUGAAGAGGCUUUGGUGUGUGGAGGAGGUUGUGGUGGUGUGGUUCCCAGUACCUGUGAUCAGGUCUGAGUGUGAGCAGAGCUGUGACACAGAACCAAACCGGUUGUUCUCUGCACCCACAGUGACUGUCAGUUCUUUUUUUUUUUUGAGACAGAGUCUUGCUCUGUCACUAGGCGCGAGGCUGCUGUAGUGCAGUGGUGUGAUCUCAGCUCACUGUAACCUCCGCCUCCUGGGUUCAGGCAAUUCUCCUGCCUCAGCCUCCCAAGUAGCUGGGACUACAGGUCUGCCACCACGCCCAUUUUUGUAUUUUAGUAGAGACGGGGUUUCACCAUGUUGGCCAGGAUGGUCUUGAUCUCCUGACCUUGUGAUCCGCCCGCCUCGGCCUUCCAAAGUGCUGAGAUUACAGGCGUGAGCCACGGCGCCCGGCCAACCGUCAAUUCUUGAACCCAGGAUUAGCCGCGAGCGGCAUCCCUCGAGGUGGCGGUGUUUUGCCGAGUCCUUAACUGCAGUGUAGACUCUUCCCAUACGGUGGCGCCAAAGACUAACUUCUUGGGAGGAUAGCAGGGCUCAGUUUGGCGAUUCUCAGCUCCAGGUCGUCAUCCGAUAGGAGCGGGGGCGGGGGGAGCAGAUGCCCGGUGGCCGGGUCUCUCCCACCACUACCCCUCAAGUCUCUGUCAGAGCAACUCACCUAGCGUUAGGAACUUACAAAAAUAAACUGUGCGGCCGGGCGCUGUGGCUCAUGCCUGUAAUCCCAGCACUUUGGAAGGCCGAUGCGGGCGGAUCACGAGGUCAGGAGUUCGAGAACAGCCUGGCCAGCAUGGUGGAACCCCAUCUCUACUAAAAAUACAAAAAUUAGCUGAGCAUGGUGGUGCGUGCCUGUAAUCCCAGCUACUUGGAAGGCUGAGUCAGGAGAAUCGCUUGAACCUGGGAGGGGUUGGUUGCAGUGAGCCAAGAUCAUGCCACUGACUCCAGCCUGGGUGAGAGACCAAGACUCCAUCUCAAAAAAAAAAAAAAAAGACAAGAAAAAAUAAACUGUGCACCACAUACUGGAACCUUUGUCAGGGGGACUGGGCUGAAAGGGUCCCAGGGGAGCAGUUCAUCCCAUGAGCUGGGAGAGGCAAAGACGUCCCUCCCACUUGUCCCUUAGGAGAAAGGAGUCAGGAAGGAAGGAAGGACGCCCAGCCCAGACCGCGAGACACAGUCACCCCACCCCUUGCCCACACCCCCAGAGCACGGCCCACUCAGAGCUCCCCCUGGAGGCCGAGGCUGGACUAUCGGGGACAAUGACAACCAUACUGGCCGGCCUCAGGCAGUGUCCCCAGGGAAGACAUUGCCAAGCCCAGAAACUUACACCUCCCCAGUGCAGAGGCCAGCCUGGAAAUGCCCCAAUAAGUAAUGGCCAUGUUGCUUUAGAAAACGAUGCCAUGUUCACUGCAAACCAUUCUUUGUAUGAAUAAAUACAAAGAAGAAAAUAAACCAAGUGAAAGUACAACGCCCAGAUGAUGGUCAUGGUGGCCCUCAGGACCCGUGGAUGCAGGUCUGACCUGAGAUUCCUGCUAUGCGGGUUGUUCUAAAACUUUCUCCACUCCACCAUGCUUAUUACAUUGAGUACCUUUCCAUGUUCAGAUAUAAAACCCUUACUCCCUACCCUGACCUCACCUCACUCACCUCUCAGACCUUACCUCCUGACCUCUCUUCUAGCCCACAUGACUCAACCUCCACUAGCUCAUUCUCACUUCCCAGCCCCCCUCCAGCCCUUUGCUGUUCCCUCUGCCUGGGACACUCUUCCUCUAGGUCAUUCAGUGACUGUUUCUUUUAUCUUUUUUUUGAGACAGAGUUUUGCUCUUGUUGCCCAGGCUGGAGUGCAAUGGCAUGAUCUCAGCUCACCACAACCUCCACCUCCCGGGUUCAAGGAUUCUCCUACCUCAGCUUCUCAAGUAGCUGCAAUUACAGGCAUGCACCACCACACCCGACUAUUUCUUUGUAUUUUUAGUAGAGACGGGGUUUCUCCAUGUUGGUUAGGCUGGUCUCCAACUUCCAAUCUCAGGUGAUCCACCCGCCUCAGCCUUCCACAGCACUGGGAUUACAGGCAUGAGCCACCUUGCCCAGCCCAGUGACUGUUUCUUUCCUGUCAUUCAGGUCUCAGUUCCAAUGUCACUGCCUCAAAGAGGCCUACCCUGACCAACCUAACUAAAGCAGUUCCUCAGCCCCACCACUCCAGACCAUGCCACCAGGUUUGGCUUCUUCACAGCUCUCCUCUCUCCCUCUCUCUGAAAUCAUCUUGCUUCUAUGUUUGUUUUUUGAGAUGAAAUCUCUCUCUCUGUCACCAGGCUGGUGCAGUGCCACAAUCUUGGCUCGCUGCAACCUCUGC